rnacentral:rRNA from 1 species
AGUGAACGCUGGCGGUAGGCCUAACACAUGCAAGUCGAACGGCAGCACAGUAAGAGCUUGCUCUUACGGGUGGCGAGUGGCGGACGUGUGAGGAAUACAUCGUAAUCUACUUUUUCGUGGGGGAUAACGUAGGGAAACUUACUCUAAUACCGCAUACGACCUACGGGGGAAAGCAGGGGAUCGUCUGACCUUGCGCGAUUGAAUGAGCCGAUGUCGGGUUAGCUAGUUGGCGGGGUAAAGGCCAACCAAGGCGACGAUCCGUAGCUGGUCUGAGAGGAUGGUCAGCCACACUGGAACUGAGACACGCUCCAGACUCCUACGGGAGGCAGCAGUGGGGAAUAUUGGGCAAUGGGCGCAAGCCUGAUCCAGCCGUACCGCGUGGGUGAAGAAGGCCUUCGGGUUGUAAAGCCCUUUUGUUGGGAAAGAAAAGCAGCAGGUUAAUACCCCGCUGUUCUGACGGUACCCAAAGAAUAAGCACCGGCUAACUUCGUG